AUGACGGAAUUGAUUUGACAUAAAGUCAAAGGCCAGAUUGCUGUAAAUAGAGUUUAUUCAUUUUGGGGGUGAUUUUUGCGGUGAAAUGUAAUAUAUAACCAAAUGUGUGCAUGUUAUAGAGUUCAGGCAUCAGGAAAAAGAUGCGAAGAUGAUGACGAACUAACCAAUGAGGGAAUUGAUUUGACCACCAACCCCCUAAUCGGCCCUGACCUGGAAUCAUCUGUGCAAGCACGACUGUGGUUUGGCCUGUGCUGCCAGAUAAACUCACAAGCAUCAUCUCGUGAAGAAAGAGAAGAAUCAACAUUAAGGGGCAGCUGAUGGCCGCCAUCCUCCUAUUGGUUGCUCGCUGAUCUGACCUGCAAUGAAAAAGGUGCACCACACACGAACAAAGGCAGGAGGCAAGAGCAGUUACAGGGUUUACUUAUUGUCAGUUUUGGCCUUAUCCAUGGAGAGGAAGUGAAGCAUGUCUUAGCAUGGCUCAUUUAUUAUUUUACUUCACAUGGUUGUGUUAUGAAGAGUUUGUAGUCCCUUUAUGCUAAUGUAUAUAGAGAAACUAUGAUCCCUGAUAAUUAAAAUUUCAGAAAAAUACAUUAUAAUAUUAAAGGAGGAUAUAAUGGCUGAAUUUUCAUUUUUGGGUGAACUUUAAGGACAGUGGAGGAAGAAGCUGCUCUGUAGUCUGGUGGUAUGGCGUUAUAUCAUUUGCCAGAUGGCAGCGGGGUGGACAGUCUGUGGCUGGAAUGAAUGUUGUCUUUUAGUAUCCUCUGAAUGCCACACAGGCACCUCACUGCUCGGUAGAUUGUUACAAAUGAUCAUCUGGGUGGUUGUAAUUACUCGCCGAGGGCUAAAUACAAACAAACAAACAAACAAAAAACACACAUAACACUUUUAAAAAAAAACAUCAACGCAGACUGCAAUCUGACUUAAAACUACUGUAUGUGUGAAUCACAACACUUGCAAGCACGCAGGAUCCAACGGCUAAACAGCAAGUUUAUUUUGGUUAGGAUCAGAAACACAGAUCAUGUCCUGAGGGUGAGAUGAGAAGAGAUGAGAUCAAAAUCCCAUGACCGAAAUAUGGCAAUGAUGGUUUGUGGUGUUUGGGAGAGGGAGGGGCAGCAAUGAGUGGGAGAAAUGGUGUGUUACAAUGUUCAGUGAAUAAGAUUGGAGGGGAGCAGUUACUCUCAACAGCAGAGAGCAGCAUUGACCAUUUCCCGUGGCAAACUCCAACAACAGGGAGGCCCACAUGUUACUGUAGCCACAUCUCCCAUUUCAAUAGUCUCCAGUUGCUCAAAGAAUCUUUUCUAUUCAAUAAAACCUAGUUUUAGUUGAAAUGAAAAACAAAAGGCACAAUGAUUUUCAACUCAUUCUUGUCUUUAAUAUGCACAAGAGUUGAAAGCAUCAAUGAGCCACCUUAAAGAGAGGAAAUUCAAUCUAAAAUUUAUAAAAAGAUAUAAACAAUCAGAGGCCAAAACGCUGUCUGUUGCUUUUCUCCUAUUAUUUUAUUUAAAACAACUUUUCAUUAGCAAGUAAAAAUCUUGCAACAAACAUAAGCUUGUAUCCAAUUUGGAUACAAGGCAACGAAAUUGUAAAUCUUUAAAGUGGCUCGGUCUAGUCUGCUAGUUCAUGACUGUACACCCUCUCCAUAGUUUUGUUCAGUAAUAAACAGCUAGUCCCAAAAACAAGCCUGGGCUGCUCGUUACAACCCCCACCCAAUAUUUAAAACCCCAGUGUGACCCUCCCUUACCCUACCCACCCCCACCCACCUUACACUGACCCCCUCUCAGUAGUUAGCAGCCAACCAGAGGAUCACAAAGUCUUCGAGACCAGGGUUAGGGUGGGGUCUGACAGCGUGAACCCGCACCCGCACACCAACUGGGACAUGGGACGGUGCAUUUUAAACAUCCCGUCACCACUACGAAGAAAGAGAGAGAGAAAAAAAAAAAAA